rnacentral:rRNA from 1 species
GUGAACGCUGGCGGUAGGCCUAACUCAUGCAGGUCGAACGGCAGCACAGUAAGAGCUUGCUCUUACGGGUGGCGAGUGGCGGACGGGUGAGGAAUACAUCGGAAUCUACUUUUUCGUGGGGGAUAACGUAGGGAAACUUACGCUAAUACCGCAUACGACCUACGGGUGAAAGCAGGGGAUCUUCGGACCUUGCGCGAUUGAAUGAGCCGAUGUCGGAUUAGCUAGUUGGCGGGGUAAAGGCCCACCAAGGCGACGAUCCGUAGCUGGUCUGAGAGGAUGAGCAGCCACACUGGAACUGAGACACGGUCCAGACUCCUACGGGAGGCAGCAGUGGGGAAUAUUGGACAAUGGGCGCAAGCCUGAUCCAGCCAUACCGCGUGGGUGAAGAAGGCCUUCGGGUUGUAAAGCCCUUUUGUUGGGAAAGAAAAGCAGCAGGUUAAUACCCCGCUGUUCUGACGGUACCCAAAGAAUAAGUACCGGCUAACUUCGUG